UACGUAGGGUGCAAGCGUUGUCCGGAAUUAUUGGGCGUAAAGAGCUCGUAGGCGGUCUGUCGCGUCGGCUGUGAAAUCCCGAGGCUCAACCUCGGGUCUGCAGUCGAUACGGGCAAACUAGAGUAUUGCAGGGGAGACUGGAAUUCCUGGUGUAGCGGUGAAAUGCGCAGAUAUCAGGAGGAACACCGGUGGCGAAGGCGGUUCUCUGGGCCUUACCUGACGCUGAGGAGCGAAAGCCAGGGGAGCGAACGGG
rnacentral:rRNA from 1 species